AUUGAACGCUGGCGGCAGGCAUGACACAUGCAAGUCGAACGAGUGGCGGACGGGUGAGUAAUGUCUGGGAAACUGCCUGAUGGAGGGGGAUAACUACUGGAAACGGUAGCUAAUACCGCAUACCAUCGGAUGUGCCCAGAUGGGAUUAGAUAGUAGGUGGGGUAAAGGCUCACCUAGGCGACGAUCCCUAGCUGGUCUGAGAGGAUGACCAGCCACUCUGGAACUGGGACACGGUCCAGACUCCUACGGGAGGCAGCAGUGGGGAAGAUUGCACAAUGGGCGCAAGCCUGAUGCAGCCAUGCCGCGUGUAUGAAGAAGGCCUUCGGGUUUUAAAGUACUUUCAGCGAGGAGGCGUUACCCGCAGAAGAAGCACCGGCUAACUCCGUGCCAGCAGCCGCGGUAAUUC
rnacentral:rRNA from 1 species